CACGCCGUAAACGAUGGAUACUAGGUGUAGGGGGUAUCGACCCCCCCUGUGCCGGAGUUAACGCAAUAAGUAUCCCGCCUGGGGAGUACGGCCGCAAGGCUGAAACUCAAAGGAAUUGACGGGGGCCCGCACAAGCAGCGGAGCAUGUGGUUUAAUUCGAAGCAACGCGAAGAACCUUACCAGGGCUUGACAUCCCUCUGGCCGGUACAGAGAUGUACCUUUUCUUCGGAACAGAGGAGACAGGUGG
rnacentral:rRNA from 1 species